rnacentral:lncRNA from 1 species
GUAUGUUUGGUAUCCUUGGGACAGGUUCAAGUUGCUAGGGUUGUUGAACCUAGUUUCUGUCCCAUGAUACUUAAAUUGUGUGUGUUGCUCUGUUUCUUAAAUUAUUUCUAGGAGUUGUCUAGCAUGGUAUUGUCUAGUUCCUGUCCUAGAUUAAUUGUUUCUGUUUGUAUUGUGCUAGGCGAUUUGUUUAGCUACUGUCAUUGUCUUGUUGCAUUGAUAAAGGUCUAGGAGAGCCUCCUGAUCUUGUAUUGCAUUAUAUAUAUUGUUCAAGAUGAUUAGAUGAGUUGUUUAGUCUCUGUUUAUUGUCUUUAAAAUUCAUAAAAAGAGCCUAAUUGCCUUGUUAUUGAUGAGUUAUCAUACCUGAGCAGUUAGUGAUGUUAGUAUGCAUGGAGUUGAACUGAAUGAGUUGUUUAGAUUCUGUUCAUUGCAUAUUUCUUUUUAAAACAUUGGGAUCAGACUUGGUGAAUUAUCAAGGGCUGAUCCUAGUGUGUGUGGUCUGAUUCUUGCUGGAGUUUGAGUGAUGUUUCAGGUACACAAGAGGUGAUCUCUGUCCAUCAUCAAACUAAGACAAAGAAGAAGGCAUUGCCCACGUUUUUCAGAGCCUCCCAAGAUGGAUAUUCCUGAACCGUGGAGAUUGCCCAGUCCCAAAUCCUAUCUAUGUGUCUGCCCAUUUCCUACCCUGAAGAUAGAAAGGAUGUUGGAGAAUUGGAGAAACUGCUCAGAAGUGACUUACCUGAUGCCAAGAGGAUGUACAGGAGGUGCACUCAAGAGAAAAGGCCAUCACUAAGCCAAGAGUGGCCGGUGGUCAGAGGCAUGGAUCAAGGUGUUUAGUCCUGACCAUGUAAAGAUACCUUGUGAGUAGAACCAGUUGGCUUAAGCGCAGGCGUAGGAGCUGUUGUGCUCCUGGUGCAAGAGACUCAUAAGGAAGGUCAUCACCUAAGUCAUGGGGAGACUGGUGGCCCAAAGACAUUAGAGCUGAAGGAAAAUGGUGAUCCAGUUGGCUUAAGCGCAGAUGUUGGUAUUGUUGUGCUCCUGGAAGAUAGUGAACUGGUUGGCUUAAGCGCAGAUGUUGGUAUUGUUGUGCUCCCAGUUUCAAAACUCAUUGAAGCUCACAUUCAAGCUUGUCCCUAUACUCAGCCAAGCUUGAGGAGGGGAAUCAGUGAGCUACCAGAAGAUCCAUGAAGCUCCUAAGUGUCUCUUUUCCUCAUAGAAGGCCAGCAACAUCUAUGUGUCAAAAUAGAUGAUCAAGAAGAAGAGGUUGCAUGGCGAUUUAAUAAGGAGGGGCCUAAGUGAUCAGUCUGAAGAAGCUGGCACACCCCACCACUCUGACCAGCUAUAUUCAAGGACUCAAGGAGUAUUCAAUCAGGGAAAUUAUUGGCUAAGCAAUCACAUGAUGGUGGCAAAUUAUGGAGUUGAAAAGUGCUGAGCUUCCCUACAUGCUGAAACUUCAAGAGAAAAAUGCAAAGGCUGGUUGAGAGAAGGAAUGGCGUGGAGGAUUCAAGUGCUUAGCAAUCCUCACCAACAUUCAACAAACUGAUGCAAGGGAAGUACCUAAAACCAUUAUUAUUCUUAUGUGUGAAUAGGUUUGCCUCUUGAGAAUUGAUACAUGCAUUUUUCGGAUGAUUGAAUCAGGUACCUAUUGAGCUCAUGAACAAAGAAAAGCUUUGUCUCAACUCCUAAAUGGAGGCAAGAAGCCAGAAGAAAGGGGGGAGACAAGCUCAGGUCAUAAGAAGAAGCUCAAAGGUGAUUUGACGGUGAAGCAACUGGCGCCAAUCCAAGUCGUUCAUUGCCUCACCUCUGAUCAAAAUUGGAGUUUGCAAGUGGUGGAUUCACUCUUGCAUUACUCAGUACCAACCGGAUCAAAGAAGCUCAGUUCCAAGUGUGUGAUUGAGCUUCCAUAAUCCGGACUGUGUCUUACCAAGUGGGGAUUCAAUUGGAGUCCACGCCUCACCAUUCUUAUGAAAGGGAAGCACCUUAAACUCAUCUCAAUACAUUCAUGAUUGUCCUUAUACUUUAUAUUAUUGAGUUUGAUGUGAUGAGUGCAUUUCCUUAAGAACUGAUGCAAUUUUAGAAUGGUGUGUAUCAGGUACCAAAAUAAGCUUGAGCCUCACUGAAGAUGAUGAUGAUGAUCCGGUCAUGUCCUAGCCUUUCUAAGAUGGCCAAAGAAGUCAGUUGAGAGGGGGAGACCCUAACCGAGUCUAUGGUUCCAUGAAGAGGUCAAGCCAAGUUCUAAAGAACAAGUAACUUUGCUGGGGGUUCAGAGAAGAUGGUCUGGUCGUUUCCUUGCCUUCCUAAGGUGGCUUGAAGCCAGUUGAGAGGGGGAGACCCUAAACCGGCCACAAAAUGAUCCAGCCGGCUACUUGUGCUCAAGGAUAGCAAGUUAUGGUGAUUCAUACUUGCUAUACCUAUUAGGCCACGAUCCAGAGCCUAAGGACUCCACCAUGAUGAAUCUGAAGUUCCUUAGGCUCACUGGCCAAUCCCUAAGCUUUGUGGAAACUCCACUCUUUUUCCCUUAGCAAGUUUUGUCCCAAUGGGUUUUCUUGCUAAGGUUUUUAAUGAGGGAGCUUCUUCAAGGUUCCAAGCUUGUCCAAGGAUCUCCUAUGGUCAAGCUUGAGGGGGAGUGUUGGAAUGAAGAAGUAAGAAGCUGAAGUUGAUGAAGAGACCAAGCUUCAAGAGCAAGCAAAUCCGGAACAAGCAGAUUUGAAUCUGUCCGUACAGUUUUGGCUUGCAAGUAACCAAACCUAACCUAGAGUGUCUUGGAAGUCAAGGCAAGUGGGGAACUCGUCCAGCUGAGCUUUCUGAAGCAUAUUUGAAGUUUAAACUAAGUAUGAGACCGUUGGAGAGAGAUCUGGCAAGUUGGAGAAUUAAUUAAGAUAAAAGUCACAUGUGCAUAAGGAGAUGAACCUGAUGUCACUUUCACCCAACCAGACUGUGCCCAUCUCUCUCUCCUGUCACUCUCUACUCCCUCUGGUCGAGAUUCUCCUUGGCUGCAUCCUCCUGGCUCCAUCAGAAACCCUACAAUAAUAUUAGUUUAGUAAAUCUGUACUUUAACAAUUGUUUAAUCACUUGCAACUUGUAAUCUGGCUAUAAAGCCACCCCAUUGUAACCAUUACGAAAUUAAGCUGAAUGGGGGAGUUUCCCCUUUCUUCUUCACCAUUCUCAAGUCUCUUAUACUCUCCCUAAUCUCUGGUUACAAGAAUCUCUCUCAUACUCUCUCAAAUCUCACUUAAUCUCUCUUUUGCUCCAUUGCAGUCUCUUUAAUUCUCACUUACUCUCUUCACUCUGUUCUCUUUCAAUCCGACCACUCUCUGUUCUAAACAACACUCACACACCAUAAUCUGUCUAUGCUCACACCACUGGAAUCACCUGAUUAGAAAGUGGGAUAACUUGGUAUCAGAGCUCCAAGCUCCUGAGAAUCCAUAGAGCUUCCGCAAAUCUGUUACAGUUCAUACUUCUCUUCAAAAAUCUCUGUUUCUGUUCAUCCUUGUAUCCUCUGGUCUAAAGCUUUUCCAGGAGGGAAGAGACUCACCAGAAUUCAAGAUAAAGGAGGUCUUUAGUAUCUGAAACUCAAAGCUUCCACAAUUCAAGCAUAGGCUCACCCUCAUUGUUAUUUCAAAUCAUUGGAGAGUUUCUGUCCAGCCAGCUGUUCAAUCUCUUCAAGAGGAAGAAGACUACAAACAUGGCGUGUCCAGAGACUUCCCAAGGUCUAUCACCCUUCCUCCUGUUCAGCCUGAAGAGGUCUCUUGGAGAAAGAAGGUUUUGGAGCUGUUUGGCAAGCAAUGCUCCAAACCAAGUCUGUACAAGUGAUUUUCAAGUUCUUCCCAAAAUGGAGUCUCUCACUGUGUGCCAGAAGGUGGCGCCUGGUAAUCAGGAAGAAAGGAGGGGUCUUAAGCAUGAGUGGUCUAAAGGGAAAGCACACACAAGGAAAUGGCGUGGGGUAGAGAUCCCAAACUCCAAAUCUGUCAAGUUCAAGUGAACAGUGUGCCUUGGAGGUUCAAGGAACCAGCUCAGGUUCCUUGUUUGUAAGUUAACCUCCUACCUUUAAUAAGAGCUUGAGUAGUUAUGUCUGGUUGUGUUGAGUGGUGUGUUUGGUAUCCUUGGGACAGGUUCAAGUUGCUAGAGUUGUUGAACCUAGUUUCUGUCCCAUGAUACUUAAAUUGUGUGUGUUGCUCUGUUUCUUAAAUUAUUUCUAGGAGUUGUCUAGCAUAGUAUUGUCUAGUUCCUGUCCUAGAUUAAUUAUUUCUGUUUGUAUUGUGCUAGGCGAUUUGUUUAGCUACUGUCAUUGUCUUGUUGCAUUGAUAAAGGUCUAGGAGAGCCUCCUGAUCUUGUAUUGCAUUAUAUAUAUUGUUCAAGAUGAUUAGAUGAGUUGUUUAGU